rnacentral:rRNA from 1 species
AAGAGAAUGAUUAAACAAUUAAAAGCUUUCUUUAAUUGAAUAAUUGAAUUUAAUUUUUUAGUGCAAAAGCAAAAAUAAAAAUUAGGGACAAGAAGACCCUAUGAAUUUUUUAUUAAAUUUUAUAAAACUUUAUAUAAAAUUUAAUUUAAUUGGGGUGAUGGAAAAAGAAUAAAUAUCUUUUUUUUUAAAAAAAAUUGGUUCCGUUUUUAGCGAUUAAAUGAAAAAAAUACUCUAGGGAUAACAGCGUAAUAAUUUUGGAUAGUUCAUAUAGAUAAAAUAGUUUGCGACCUCGAUGUUGGAUUAGGAUUCUUUUUUGGUGAAGAAGUUAAAAAAAGAAGUUUGUUCAACUUAUAAUUUCCU